UCUGUGCACUCUCCAAAAGUUAAAUAAUUAGGGUUCCAACCAAUAACUCCCCACCCAAAAUUUUAUUCCCUGAUUCUCACCCGCUCCCCUAGGUAUAGCCAUUCAAAGAACUCUUCUCCUAUAUGUUUGAUCUGAUCGAAGAACUCUACAGAAUUCGAACAUCAAAUCGGCCAUUUUAGAGUUCAUUUGAAGCCACAACAACUGUUGAUUUUCACUAUUCAAUCUAUAUUCAGGUGACACUGUGACAGAGCUACUCUUGGUCGUAUUAGUAAUGUUACUGAAGUGCCUGUCAAUCAUAGGGGCGAAAUCAAGACCGAUCACUAUUUGCCUAUUCAUGGAGGAGCACAUGCUUUUGUUGAACAAGAAUCUGAACAAUAGAUCCUUGUCAUUUGUAUAAUUCAUGAAUGGAGAUGUGGUGGAUCUUCUUGCACCUUGAGGAGGAAAUAUUGGUCUUUUUAGUGGUCCUGGUGUCGAAAAAACUAUUAUUAUCGUGGAGCUUAUUAACAGUGUUUCCAAGGCCCAUGGUGUACAUUUUAUCGCCAUAAUUUGCUUGCAUUAUUUAUUUUUGAUUACUAGGUGGUUUCUCAGUAUUUGCUGGAGUUGGAUAAUGAACCCAGGAGGGUAAUCAAUUCUACAAAGAAAUGUUGGAGAAUGGUGUCAAUAAGCUAGGUGACAAGCAGAUUGAAAAGUUGAACUUAGUUAUCAAGGAGCUCGUUAAGGAAAAUGAUGAAGAAAAAGAAAGGCGAAAUGGAAUUAUUGCUGGGUUGUUGGCUGAAAAGAAAAAAGAUAAGGUGGAUAAAGAUGCUAUGCUCGAUACGAUGCCACAAAUUGAAGCUAUGUUAACAAGUACAAUUUGAAGAUAGACUACAAAUACUUGGUUUUGAAUGUUUUGAUGUUUAUCAUAUAAGGAUUUUUUUAGUUAUUUCAUGUUUUAGCUGAUAUUUCUAUUAGAAUGUUUUAUAUGCUUUUGAUACACAUAUGUUUUAUAUAAUUUUGGGUUUUCGUGAUCUUA